rnacentral:rRNA from 1 species
CCUACGGGAGGCAGCAGUGGGGAAUAUUGCGCAAUGGGCGAAAGCCUGACGCAGCGACGCCGCGUGAGGGAUGAAGGUCUUCGGAUCGUAAACCUCUGUCAGCAGGGAAGAACGGUCACUGUGCUAAUCAGCAGUGAAUUGACGGUACCUGCAAAGGAAGCACCGGCUAACUCCGUGCCAGCAGCCGCGGUAAUACGGAGGGUGCGAGCGUUAAUCGGAAUUACUGGGCGUAAAGCGCUCGUAGGCGGUAUGUCAAGUCAAGGGUGAAAUCCCCGCGCUCAACGUGGGAACUGCAUUUGAAACUGGCAAACUGGAGUGUGUGAGAGGAUAGUGGAAGUCCAGGUGUAGGAGUGAAAUGCGUAGAUAUCUGGAGGAACAUCAGUGGCGAAGGCGACUAUCUGGCACAUAACUGACGCUGAGGAGCGAAAGCGUGGGUAGCAAACAGGAUUAGAUACCCCUGUAGUC